UUCCGGUUGAUCCUGCCAGAGGUCACUGCUAUCGGUGUUCGCCUAAGCCAUGCGAGUCAUAUGUAGCAAUACAUGGCGUACUGCUCAGUAACACGUGGAUAACCUGCCCUUGGGACCGGCAUAACCCCGGGAAACUGGGGAUAAUUCCGGAUAACGCAUAUUUGCUGGAAUGCUUUAUGCGUCAAAAGGAUUCGUCUGCCCAAGGAUGGGUCUGCGGCCUAUCAGGUAGUAGUGGGUGUAAUGUACCUACUAGCCAGCGACGGGUACGGGUUGUGAGAGCAAGAGCCCGGAGAUGGAUUCUGAGACAUGAAUCCAGGCCCUACGGGGCGCAGCAGGCGCGAAAACUUUACAAUGCGGGAAACCGUGAUAAGGGGACACCGAGUGCCAGCAUCAUAUGCUGGCUGUCCGGAUGUGUAAAAUACAUCCGUUAGCAAGGGCCGGGCAAGACCGGUGCCAGCCGCCGCGGUAACACCGGCGGCCCGAGUGGUGAUCGUGAUUAUUGGGUCUAAAGGGUCCGUAGCCGGUUUGGUCAGUCCUCCGGGAAAUCUGAUAGCUCAACUAUUAGGCUUUCGGGGGAUACUGCCAGACUUGGAACCGGGAGAGGUAAGAGGUACUACAGGGGUAGGAGUGAAAUCUUGUAAUCCCUGUGGGACCACCUGUGGCGAAGGCGUCUUACCAGAACGGGUUCGACGGUGAGGGACGAAAGCUGGGGGCACGAACCGGAUUAGAUACCCGGGUAGUCCCAGCCGUAAACGAUGCUCGCUAGGUGUCAGGCAUGGCGCGACCGUGUCUGGUGCCGCAGGGAAGCCGUGAAGCGAGCCACCUGGGAAGUACGGCCGCAAGGCUGAAACUUAAAGGAAUUGGCGGGGGAGCACAACAACGGGUGGAGCCUGCGGUUUAAUUGGAUUCAACGCCGGG
rnacentral:rRNA from 1 species